rnacentral:piRNA from 1 species
UAAGAAUGAAUAGAAGCGACU